rnacentral:rRNA from 1 species
AACCUGGUUGAUCCUGCCAGUAGUCAUAUGCUUGUUUCAAGGAUUAAGCCAUGCAUGUCUAAGUAUAAGCCCUAGUACGGCUAGACUGCAGACGGCUCAUUACAACGGUUGCAGCUUACAGAGCAUCCGGGUCGCAAGACCUUCUGGAUAACCGCAGUAAAUCGGGGCUAAUACAUACAAACGGAGGGGCGGAGCGGGCAACCGCGAAGCUUCUGCGAUGGACACUUAGCUAUUCGACUGACCCCUCACGGGAAUGGUUGGAACCGGUUCAUAUUGCUAAUCGACUUGUGGCUUGCCCAAGUCUGAUAAGCUCUAUAGGCAACCGCCCUAUCAACUUGAUGGUAAGGUAUUGGCUUACCAUGGUUGUAACGGGUAACGGGGAAUCAGGGUUCGAUUCCGGAGAGGACGCCUGAGAAACGGCGUCCACAUCUACGGGUGGCAGCAGGCGCGUAAAUUGCCCAAUCUCAAUAGAGAGGAGGCGGUGACAAUAAAUCCCGAUGGCCAUGGGGGCAACCCCGGGCCAAUCAGAAUAAGUACACAUUAAAUACCCUAACCAAUAUAAUUGGAGGGCAAGUCUGGUGCCAGCAGCCGCGGUAAUUCCAGCUCCAAUAGCGUAUACUAAUGUUGUUGCAGUUAAAACGCUCGUAGCUGAACAACUUGAUGGCAAAUUCAGGUCAAUGUGGCACGUCCAUGGGGGGAAACCUUUAUGCGGCAGUGUCCUUGACCGGCUAAGCAGGUAGGUAGUUUGGCGUGUGUAGCAAUACAUGCGUCAGGCGAUCGACUGUGCAUAAACCUUGAUGCUCAAGGUAAAGACGACUCUAGUCAAAGAUACGCAGUGCAUGGCAUUGUGGAACAAGGCGAUCCGUAGCUUGGUUGGUGAGCUACGGGUGCAAUGAUUAAUAGGGAGGAGCGGGGGCCUUCAUAUUGCCGGGCGAGAGGUGAAAUUCGUUGACCCUGGCAAGAUGUCCUACAGCGAAAGCAUUGGCCAAGUGCCUCUCCAUUAGUCAAGAACGAAAGUUUGGGGAUCAAAGACGAUCAGAUACCGUCGUAGUCCAAACCAUAAACUAUGUCGACCAGCGAUUAGGUUCGCCACCUUCUUCGAGAGCAACCUGGCAGCUUGUGGGAAACCAUGAGUUCUUGGACUCUGGGGGGAGUAUGGUCGCAAGGCUGAAACUUAAAGGAAUUGACGGAAGGGCACACCAUGGAGUGGAGCCUGCGGCUUAAUUUGACUCAACACGGGAAAGCUUACCAAGCUCAGAUAUGAUAAGGAUUGACAGACCAAAAGAUCUUUCAUGAUCUCAUAAGUGGUGGUGCAUGGCCGUUCUUAGUUGGUGGAGUGAUUUGUCAGGUCAAUUCCGGUAACGGACGAGACCUCGACCUGCUAACUAGUGGCAGUUGUCUUUUCGCUCGGCGAGGCGUUUUGGGCGUGGAACUUUGAUAGGGGCAACUCUAUCUUUGGGAAGCGAACGAGGCUAGUAGUCUGGAGAGGCAGCUGUCCCCAUAUUAAAAUAAUCUUCCUAGAGGUACUUCCAGCUCUAAGUUGGAGGAAGUCCGAGGCAAUAACAGGUCUGUGAUGCCCUUAGAUAUCUUGGGCCGCACGCGUGCUACAAUGUAGGCGCUAAUGAGUCGUUCUUAAUAUCCCGGCACCGCCAAGGUGUCUGGUAAUCCCCAAUCCCCUGCGUGAUUGGGAUUGGUCACUGUAACUGUGACCAUCAACGAGGAAUUCCUUGUAUGCGCGGGUCACUAUCCCGCGCAGAAUCUGUCCCUGCCCUUUGUACACACCGCCCGUCGCUCCUACCGAUCGAACGGUAAGGUAAAGUGGACGGACAGCUGUCCUUCACGGAUGGCUGGAAGUCCCAUUGAACCUUCGUCGUUAGAGGAAGGAGAAGUCGUAACAAGGUAUCGGUAGGUGAACCUGCAGAAGGAUCA